rnacentral:rRNA from 2 species
AGCUCCAAUAGCGUAUAUUAAAGUUGUUGCAGUUAAAAAGCUCGUAGUUGGAUUUCUGGCAGGAGCGACCGGUCACUCACUCUGUGAGUGAACUUGCGUUGUCUCUGGCCAUCCUUGGGGAGAUCCUGUUUGGCAUUAAGUUGUCGGGCAGGGGAUACCCAUCGUUUACUGUGAAAAAAUUAGAGUGUUUAAAGCAGGCUUAUGCCGUUGAAUAUAUUAGCAUGGAAUAAUAAGAUAGGACUUCGGAACUAUUUUGUUGGUUUGCGUUACGAAGUAAUGAUUAAUAGGGACAGUUGGGGGUAUUCGUAUUCCGGUGUCAGAGGUGAAAUUCUUGGAUUUCCGGAAGACGAACUACUGCGAAAGCAUUUACCAAGGAUGUUUUCAUUA